rnacentral:rRNA from 1 species
UACGUAGGCAGCAAGCGUUGUUCGGAGUUACUGGGCGUAAAGAGUGCGUAGGCGGUUCCGUAAGUUUGGUGUGAAAUCUCCCGGCUUAACUGGGAGGGUGCGCCGAAAACUGCGGGGCUUGAGUGUGGGAGAGGCAAGCGGAAUUCCUGGUGUAGCGGUGAAAUGCGUAGAUAUCAGGAGGAACACCGGUGGUGUAGGCGGCUUGCUGGACCAUGACUGACGCUGAGGCACGAAAGCGUGGGGAGCAAAC